rnacentral:ncRNA from 1 species
CUGUUGGUGGGGAAGGAGAAAAGGUUAACAUUCUCAUUAAUAAGAAUGGAACAGAUCCUAGUGAUCAUUACAAUAUGCAGUCAAGGCAUUCUUUGUUACAAAGGAGAAUUCUAUAGAGGGUGAUGGGAAGUCACUGGGAAUUACUAGCAACAUUUUUU